rnacentral:pre_miRNA from 1 species
UCUUAUGCAUGAGCAAAGAGAGUGGUUUCUUGGGAUGAAAUCUACUCCUAGUGAAGAUGCUGUGAA